GAUGAACGCUAGCGGCAGGCCUAACACAUGCAAGUCGAGGGGUAACUAGAGUGAUAGCAAUAUUACUUUGGCUAGACCGGCGCACGGGUGCGUAACACGUAUGCAACCUACCUUAUACUGGGGAAUAACUUCGAGAAAUCGGCGCUAAUACCCCAUAACAUUUCGAAGAGGCAUCUCUUUGCAAUUAAAGCUCCGGCGGUAUAAGAUGGGCAUGCGUCCAAUUAGCUAGUUGGGGAGGUAACGGCUCACCAAGGCUACGAUUGGUAGGGGUUCUGAGAGGAUGAUCCCCCACACUGGUACUGAGACACGGACCAGACUCCUACGGGAGGCAGCAGUGAGGAAUAUUGCGCAAUGGACGAAAGUCUGACGCAGCCAUGCCGCGUGCAGGAUGACGGCCCUAUGGGUUGUAAACUGCUUUUGUACGGGAAUAAACCCUUCUACGUGUAGGAGGCUGAAGGUACCGUAAGAAUAAGCACCGGCUAACUCCGUGCCAGCCGCCGCAGUAACAC
rnacentral:rRNA from 1 species